rnacentral:rRNA from 1 species
AUUGAACGCUGGCGGCAUGCCUUACACAUGCAAGUCGAACGGCAGUACGGGAGCUUGCUCCUGGUGGCGAGUGGCGAACGGGUGAGUAAUACAUCGGAACGUACCCUGAAGUGGGGGAUAACGUAGCGAAAGUUACGCUAAUACCGCAUAUUCUGUGAGCAGGAAAGAGGGGGAUCGCAAGACCUCUUGCUUUAGGAGCGGCCGAUGUCGGAUUAGCUAGUUGGUGAGGUAAAGGCUCACCAAGGCGACGAUCCGUAGCGGGUCUGAGAGGAUGAUCCGCCACACUGGGACUGAGACACGGCCCAGACUCCUACGGGAGGCAGCAGUGGGGAAUUUUGGACAAUGGGCGCAAGCCUGAUCCAGCCAUGCCGCGUGAGUGAAGAAGGCCUUCGGGUUGU